rnacentral:ncRNA from 1 species
CGCACUCGUGCGGGAGAGAUCCGUGACGGCCAGUCACGGGCGCCGAAGGAGCAACACCUCUCCGCUAACCUCUCAGGCACCCGGACCGCGCGCGUUAA